rnacentral:rRNA from 1 species
AGAAUCAACGCUGGCGGCGUGCCUAACACAUGCAAGUCGCACGAGAAAGGGGAGCAAUCCCUGAGUAAAGUGGCGCACGGGUGAGUAACACGUGAAUGAUCUACCUCCGAGUGGGGAAUAACUGAGAGAAAUCUUAGCUAAUACCGCAUAACACUUACGAGUCAAAGCAGCAAUGCGCUUGGAGAGGAGUUCGCGGCCGAUUAGCUAGUUGGCGGGGUAAUGGCCCACCAAGGCGAUGAUCGGUAUCCGGCCUGAGAGGGCGCACGGACACACUGGAACUGAAACACGGUCCAGACUCCUACGGGAGGCAGCAGUGGGGAAUUUUGCGCAAUGGGGGAAACCCUGACGCAGCAACGCCGCGUGGAGGAUGAAGCCCCUUGGGGUGUAAACUCCUUUCGAUCGGGAAGAUAAUGACGGUACCGAUAUAAGAAGCCCCGGCUAACUUCGCGCCAGCAGCCGC